CCUACGGGAGGCAGCAGUGAGGAAUAUUGGUCAAUGGGCGUAAGCCUGAACCAGCCAAGUCGCGUGAGGGAUGAAGGUUCUAUGGAUCGUAAACCUCUUUUAUAAGGGAAUAAAGUGUGGGACGUGUCCUAUUUUGUAUGUACCUUAUGAAUAAGGAUCGGCUAACUCCGUGCCAGCAGCCGCGGUAAUACGGAGGAUCCGAGCGUUAUCCGGAUUUAUUGGGUUUAAAGGGUGCGUAGGCGGCCUUUUAAGUCAGCGGUGAAAGUCUGUGGCUCAACCAAAGAAUGGCGCUUGAAACUGGGGGGCUUGAGUAGGUUGGAGGCAGGCGGAAUGCGUGGUGUAGCGGUGAAAUGCUUAGAUAUCACGCAGAACCCCGAUUGCGAAGGCAGCCUGCCAAGCCAUGACUGACGCUGAUGCACGAAAGCGUGGGGAUCAAACAGGAUUAGAUACCCUUGUAGUC
rnacentral:rRNA from 1 species